rnacentral:lncRNA from 1 species
AGAGGCCCGGCUUUGUGUCAGUUUCUACCCCAAGAUGCCGCCCCAGAUCCGGGAUGGAGACCCAGACGCCCGCCCUCAGAGUGCAGCAGGACGAUUUGUUUCAAAGUAAAUCGUUGAGACUGUUCAUUAACAAGGGAGCGAUGGAUAAAUAAUGAUGAUCUCUGUGUAAAAUAAUAUACAACUAUUUCCAAGGAUGGGUUAAAUCUACUUAUAUAAAUCUACUUAUAUAUUGCCUCUAUCUAUAUAUUUAUAUAUUAUUUUUAAAAUAAACAUCUAACAUAGUAAAAAACGUUCCAUUUUGUGUAAAAAAAACUUCAAAACUGUUCAUAUGUACUUAUAUAAACACAGAAAUUGUAUGGAAGAUAAACUAUUAGAACCAGUUACUUCAGACAGGAAAGUGGAUUACUUGUUAUUUUUUUCUUGAUACACCUCAUUAGCGUUUCAAUAGUCACACGCAUUAUUUUGUAAUAAAAAUAAAUUUAAUCAACUAAAAAACUACAUAAAAUAUCCUCACCCAAGCAGCUGGCAGCGGCUUCUCUACAAAUAUGAUUUCUCCCUGUGGAGAACUUUGUUGCUAGUUCUGAUCCAUGUUAUUUGAGUGGAACACGAGACUUGACCAUGGAGCAGGAACUGGCUUUAUGCCUGACCAGGUCCUGCACUCGCAUCUACUCAUCUAACCUGGAGAGCUCAACUGUAAAACCUGGAGGAACCACUCAUCUCUUUUUAUGGCUGGUCCCCAGGGCCCCAGGGAGAUUUGCAUGGCCCCUGUCCUGUCUCCAGAUUCCUCACCCCUCACUGCCCUGGCCCCUGUUUGCUGGGUACCUAAGGAAGGGUUGUCCUGGGACCAAACUGUUCUCUGGAAGAGACCAUCACAAAGCUUUCUCCCUUACUACAAAAGUGUAGUGUCCAGAGUGGACCUUCCAGGGGAAGGUGGCUUCAGUGGUGAAAGGGACAGGGUACGACAUCCCAUAUAAAUUAAGGGUUUCAUUUCAACUGCUCCAACUACAGGAAGCAUAGGUUAAGAACUCUAUUUUAUUCUUUCUAUUCCCCACUUCAACUAGGUCACAAACAGGUGCUCUGUAAUGUCCACUGGAUGGAUGGAUGAAAUGGGGUAAGAAAGAAAAUCCUUAGGAUCAUUCCUCAAAAAAACAAACAGCAGCCUAAAGCAGAAAAUGGAUGAAAUUACACACCUCCUGUGCUGUUUGAACCGCGUUGGUCUGGAUUUUCUUCUGUCUCUGCCACCCCCAAAGACAGCAACACCAACUCCUCCCUUCCUCCUCAUCCUUAGCCUACUCAAUGUGAAGAUGACAAGGAAGACCUUCAUGAUGAUUCACUUUUACUUAAUGAAUGCCUUUCUCUGCCUUUAUGCCAUGGAAUGACACAGUAAGAAGGCUCUUUCUUGCCAGAUGCCAGCCACUCAAUCUUGGACUUCCCAGCCUCCAGAACUGUGAGCUGAUAAAUUUUUGUUCCUUAUACAUUACUCAGUCUCAGGUAUUCUGCUAUGGUAGCACAAAACAGACUAAGACACAGAGUUGAUCCAUUAUCAAUCAGAAUUCCAACAGGUUUAUUUGCUUGUUUGUUUCUUGUUUUGGAGAACUUGAUAAGUUUAUUUAAAUAUUUAUAUGGAAGGUCAAAGGUCCAAGUAAAGCUAAAACACUCUUAAAGAAGAAGAAACAGGUGAUAGGACUUUUCCUACCAAAUUUCAAGGCUUUUAAUAAAACUAUAGUGGUUAAAAAUUAUUUAGUAUUGAGGCAGAGUUAGACAAAUAGAAAAUAAGAAUGGGGGCUUAAAACGAAUUCAUGCUUAUAUGGAAAUCCUGAUUCAUGCAAAUCACUGGUGCUGGGGCAACAGAUUAUCCAUAUGGAAUAAACAACAUAAAAAUCAGUUUCCAUGUGGAUUAAGACUAAUUGCCAAAGGCAAAACUAUAACACUUUUAGAAAACGAUACACUAAAAUUAAUCUAUGAUCUUGAGAAAACAAUUAUCAAACAAGAAAAGCUAUAAAAGAAAGUACUACUAACUUGAAAUUAAAUUCAAAACUUAGAUUCAUUGAUAGAAACAGAGAAAGAAACAGAUAUAAAGACAUAGAGAGAAAGAAAACCUCAAAAGCAAAUUGGAAAGAUGUCUGUGGCAUAUAUAGCUAACAAUUACUGCUUCGUACCCAGAUUAUAUAAAGAAAGCAUUCCAAUGAGUCAAUAAAAAAGGUAAACAAACAAUCCAAUACAAAAAUGAAAGAGACAGGAAUCAGAAUUUCACAAAGAGAAAGCACUGAUCAACAUAUAAAAAGUCAAUCUCAUUAGUUAUGGAAAAUGCUAGUUAAAAUCACAGUUAAAUGCUAUUUCAUACCUGCCAGACUGACAAAAAAUGUAAUUUUACAAGACUAAGCUGUGGCAAGCAUGUAGAGCAACAAGAAUGCUCAUCCACUGCUGGAGGGAGUGCAAACUGGUUUAACACUUUGGAAAGUUUAGAAAUGACCCAAUAAAAUUGAAUACACAUAAAUCUUAUAACUCCGCAAUUCUACUCCCAGCUAUAUACUCUAGGGAAGCUCCCACACAAGUGUACUUGAAUAUUAGAGGACAUGGGCAGGCUUUAAAGUGGCCCCGAUAAUCCCUGCCUCCAGGUGUUCAUGUCCUUGUGUCACCCCCUUCCCUUCAGUGUGAGUUGGGCCUAGGGACUCACUUCUAAUGAAUAUAAAAUGGCAAAAAUAAUGGGAUGUCGCUUCUGAGGUUACAGAAAGAAUCUGACUUCUGUCUUUCUCUUUUUCUCUGUGGGAGCCUUCUCUCUGGGGGGAGUAAGCUGCCAUGUUGCAACCAUUCUUUAUACAGAGGCCCAUGUGGCAAAGAACUGAUGUGUACAGCCAGGGUCAGUGAGGCCAAUCGGCCUGCCAGCAGUCAUGUGAGUAAGCCUGGGAGAGGUCCUCGACCCUACGCCUAGCCUUGAGAUGACUGAGGCCCAGUCAAUACCUUGAUUGUUGAUACAGCUUGUGAGAGACCCUGAGUCAGAGACUCCCAGCUAAGCCCCUCCUGGAUUCCUGAUCACAGAAACUGUAAGAUAGGAGGUAACAGGACUUGUUUUGUUUGUUCGCUUUGGUUUGAAGCUGCUAGGUGUUGGGGUAAUUUGUUACAUAGCUUAUAGAUAAAUCAUACACCUCCAAAAGUAGAAACAAUCCAAUGUCCAUCAGCAGUAGAAUGGAUAAAUUAUGUACAUUUACACCUUAAAUGACGAAAACGAAAAUGGAAGGAAGCAUGAAAGAUGAAUCUAUAAAACUUAAGAAUACGUACAGGAUAAUGUCAUUAAUAUAAUGUCAUUAUAAUGAGAAAGCCAAUACAUAUGUUUUAGGAAUACACACACAAAUAUGGUAAAACUAAAAAGAAAAGCAAGGGAUUCAUUAAAUUAAGACAAAAAUCACGAAAGAUGUCACAUCUCAGAGAAUGGAGGAGAAUGGACCAUGGGCAUCAGUUGGGACUCAUGGGCUUCUAAGGUACUGUGACGCCCUAUUUCUUGACCCAAGGAGAUGGUCAGGCAUUCGUUUCAUUAUUUUUUAGACCAUUCUGAGAUAUUUCAUUUACUUUUUAUUCAACAUUUUAAAACAAAGUAUUGAAACCAAUUCAUCAACAAAUCACUAGUUUGGAGGAUGAAAGUGAUGGACCGAUGGUUGGCUGGUCAGCUAGACAGACACAUUCUGUCCUUUACGUCUAGUUCGAGCUGUACUUCUUCUAAAUUUCCAUGAUUAUCCAAUUGGCAAAGAUCUUUUUCUCCUGUACUUAAGGCCUUCUUCCGUUGCAGGUUGGGCCAAACUAGCGGCCAGCUCUCGGCUGUUUACCAGGGAACUGUAUCACCCAGCACUUGCUGCUUCAGGCCAAAUGCAUUCCAGACUAACAUUCAGCCUGAAUCCCCGCGCCGCUCUCACCGCCACCCCUCCCCAGGUCCCUUCCCCCACCACAAACCCACACUGCGCCCGUGGGCGCCUAGAGCACUGGGGUGGAUGAGAACUUCCACCUGGGCUUAACGGAGACAAGCUAGCCUAGAAGAAUGCAAGCCCCCAGCUGGCGAGAUCAAAUCGCCUCGAGGGUUCCUGCUAGCUCAGAUCUUAAUGGCUCCUUGCGGAGCAAAAAACAAAUCCUACGAAAAUAGGGGGGGUCAUCGCCUCCUGCCCAGCAGAGGGCAUAACAAUGCGGCGAGAAUGAAAUAGGCACCGAGCUGCAGAGAAAAAUCAUCAACGGGGUAGAGACGAAGGAAGGGAUCCUCGGUGGAACGGCUCUAUCACCUGGGGGCGCGCGCAGAGGCCGCAAUCCACGCCCGGCCCUCCCCAGACGCUAAACGUCGCACCCCGCCCACCGCUCCCCGCC